GAGAGAUUAGCUCAACUGGAUAGAGCGUUGGCCUCCGGAGCCAAAGGUUGUGGGUUCAAAUCCCGUAUCUCUCG
rnacentral:tRNA from 1 species